UACGUAGGGGGCAAGCGUUGUCCGGAAUUAUUGGGCGUAAAGAGCGCGUAGGCGGUCCGAUAAGUCGGCUGUGAAAGUCAGGGGCUCAACCCUUGGAAGCCGGCCGAUACUGUCGGACUAGAGUCCGGAAGAGGCGAGUGGAAUUCCUGGUGUAGCGGUGAAAUGCGCAGAUAUCAGGAGGAACACCUAUUGCGAAGGCAGCUCGCUGGGACGUAACUGACGCUGAGACGCGAAAGCGUGGGGAGCAAACAGG
rnacentral:rRNA from 1 species